CGAACGGGUGAGUAAUGCGUGACCAACCUGCCCCAUGCUCCAGAAUAGCUCUUGGAAACGGGUGGUAAUGCUGGAUGCUCAACUUGACGCAUGUCUUGUUGGGAAAGUGUUUAGUGGCAUGGGAUGGGGUCGCGUCCUAUCAGCUUGUAGGCGGGGUAAUGGCCCACCUAGGCUUCGACGGGUAGCCGGCCUGAGAGGGCGGACGGCCACAUUGGGACUGAGAUACGGCCCAGACUCCUACGGGAGGCAGCAGAC
rnacentral:rRNA from 1 species